GAAUUGUAUGUGAGAGUUGGAGGGAACUAAACCAACGUAUUCCAUUUAACAUUAUUAUGCCUCUAUUUUGGUUUAAUUUCCUCCAAUAUCUCACCUCCAAUUC
rnacentral:pre_miRNA from 1 species